AGUGAACGCUGGCGGUAGGCCUAACACAUGCAAGUCGAACGGCAGCACAGAGGAGCUUGCUCCUUGGGUGGCGAGUGGCGGACGGGUGAGGAAUACAUCGGAGUCUACUCUGUCGUGGGGGAUAACGUAGGGAAACUUACGCUAAUACCGCAUACGACCUACGGGUGAAGGCAGGGGACCUUCGGGCCUUGCGCGAUUGAAUGAGCCGAUGUCGGAUUAGCUAGUUGGCGGGGUAAAGGCCCACCAAGGCGAUGAUCCGUAGCUGGUCUGAGAGGAUGAUCAGCCACACUGGAACUGAGAGACGGUACAGACUCCUACGGGAGGCAGCAGUGGGGAAGAAUGGCCAAUGGGGGCAAGCCUGAUCCAGCCAUACCGCGUGGGUGAAGAAGGCCUUCGGGUUGUAAAGCCCUUUUGUUGGGAAAGAAAUCCAGCUGGCUAAUACCCGGUUGGGAUGACGGUACCCAAAGAAUAAGCACCGGCUAACUUCGUGCCAGCAGCCGCCGCAG
rnacentral:rRNA from 1 species